rnacentral:rRNA from 1 species
GGGUGCGAUCAUACCAGCACUAAUGCACCAGAUCCCAUCAGAACUCCGAAGUUAACUAGUGACCUCUUGUGAAGUUCUCGUGUUGCACCCC